rnacentral:lncRNA from 1 species
GUCGUGGAGUCACUUCUGGUUCCUUAACUUCCUGGGCUUUUCGCAGGUAGCAUGAGGUCAUUGUAUAGUGGGAUGAGUUUGAGGGUCAAUUUGAUUAUACAAAAUCAAGCCAUGGAUAAAACUUACUCAAACUGCAACAUAGACCAAAGGGUUUUAAUGUUAUAGUGUACUGAAAGUUUAUUGUUAUAGUUUCAGAUUCUACCUGCAAUUACGCUCCGAAACUGGCCAUCAUCAUCUGGAAAAGUUGCUGAAAUAUUCCUUCUGUUUUCAGUUCCACAUCUAAAUGAGAUUGGAUUAUCUUCACCUACUUACCAAACAACAGAUCACAACAAAUGGCAUGCAGGACAGGCUGUCUGGUUGUCUUCUGUUAGGCCAGACAUGAAGAAUAUUUGUAAAAAGGCAAAGUGAUGGUUUUGUUUUCCUACUGAACUUUUUCUGUGUUUCAAAAAAUAAAGUUAUUUCCCAUAAGAGGUGUUUUUAUGUUAACAUUUAAUG